rnacentral:lncRNA from 1 species
ACUACACUGCAGCCUAGGUGACAGAAUGAGACCCUGUCUCCAAAACAAUAAAAAGAGAUCGUCUUUAUCUAGAAUAGUCAUGUGCCCCACAUAAAAAAAAAAAAAAAAAAAAAAAGAUUUUAUGACAAAUAAAGAAGAUGCUGAAAAGAAAAUUAGCAGUUUUGUCCACAGGGGCCUAAACCACAUGAAUACUGAUGACAAUUGUCAAAAUUCUUACAGCUAGUGUGGUAGACCAGAAACCCUCUGAAGCCUGCUGCCUUUCUAGGUAAGAGGGGAUUGUCGCUUGGAUCCAAGGGGAGAAACGCUCUAGGACGUUCCAGAAUUCUGGCCCCAGAAGCAUCUAAAACCCUCAUUAGCACUGCAAGGUAAACAUAAUCCUUCCUCUGUCUGCCUAGGCCUGGUGCCUUGAAGCCUCAGCCUGAGCACAGGGACGUGGUGUGUUUUCUUCACCACUUGAUCCUCGGCUUCUAGCCCAGGGCCUGGCACACACAGUGAGCUCUCAAAGACAUGCUUGUGAAGCUGAUGAAUGACUGCUACAUUCAACUCCCUCCCAUAUAAAUACAUAACUAUUUUUCACAUGUAUGUACAUAUUAAAAAGUAGCGUUGAAUUCACAUCUUUUCUUUUCAUGUGUAUUUUACUAGGGAAUGUCGAAGUGUGUGUAGAGACAGGAGAGGCAGCACUCAGAUUCUUGGGCUAGACUGCUCAGGUUUGACUCCCUAAUUGGCUGCAUGCUAGCUAUGUGACCUUGAGCAAGGUACUAUCCCUGGGACCUAGCUGUGAAAUCAACUUUCAUAACCCUCACGAAUGCUUGUGUACCUGUUUACAACAAGUGGCUGUUUACAAAGCAUGUCCCCAUGGGUUGUCUCUGACUUUCACAGCCCCACCUCACAGGUAGUGUUCCAACCAGGGAGCUCCUGGAUGCAAGGAACAGAGAGCCACUCGACCUAAGUGACCACCAGAGGGUGCCCACA